GCAAAAACAAUGAAAAAUAUUCGUGGUUUUGUGGGGUAUAAAUACCCCAAACGGUGCAUAAUGGGAAAAUACUCCGAAAAUAACUUAACCCUGAAAAGGAAGAAACUCUAACCUUUCCAUUAGAAACAUUAUGAAGGGCAAAAUAUU